rnacentral:pre_miRNA from 1 species
UUUAAUUGCAGUUGUGGGUUUUAGUGUUUAAUGUUUAUCCGUCUUAUUUAAAUUAUUUUAUAAUUACUAUUUAUAUUGUUAUUAGAUGAUAAAAUAUGAAUAUUACUCAUGCAUGAAUCAAGUUUUUGAUUUUUUUUAUAAUUUCUUUAAAUAAGACAGACGGUUAAACGUUUGGUACAGAAACCCACGACUGUACUAAAA